rnacentral:lncRNA from 1 species
UUCUUAUAAUGUCCACUUUCCGUAAGCCAAAAAAAAAAAAAAAUGGUCUUCCACAAUGGACCUCUGGACGCCACAUUUGCAUAGUUGCAUGAUUGUUUUCUGGCACAAACAAGGAGGGGUGUGUUCAGAUGGUCCUCCUGUGGACGUGGCUGCAGGAGUGGGGUGGUCGGACGAACGAACAAAAGCUCAGUCGCGCCGACUGAGACAGAGAAUCUCAAAGAAUCAAGAUGCUCAAGCUCCUGUUCCUGGUUUCUUGCCUGGUGCCUCUGGCCCUGUGCUACCCUUACUACCCAUCGACAUGCUAUAGCAAAGUCCUGGUCAAGGCGCAGGAGGUCAACCACUUGGCUGCGUAUGUCAAGAGCGCACCUGCAGUUAGCACUUGUGUGGCUCACCUGCCAGCUUUCCAUGUUGACGUCCACAAUGGUUGUGUGAUGUACAAAAUGAGACGCUACAUCUCCCUGGUGGACGGCCUCAGACUCCACCGCUGCGCCUACAGCGCCGAACUGAGAAGGCUCGGCUCCAAUCUGAAGCAGCUCCACCUCAUCAUGCGAGACAGAUGCCACGGGGACCUGGCAUAUACAGGCUACGACUGCGCCGCUCUGGAACACUAACACUCCAGACGCUGCAACAUCAUGGCCGUCUCAAGCGAAAUGUUGAAGGAGGAGUCUUCUCGAGCUUUGUAAAGCAGCUUAUCUGAAAAGAAAGCCUUAGGCGAGCCAUGCUUUUGUCCUUUAUACUUUCAUUCUGCUACAGUUACAGUAACUUGGCUUGACUGAUGACUUUAAAAGCAUUUUUUUGCUCCUUUCCACCAAUAACAAAACUGAACUGAAUUUCUAUAAUUUAUGCCAGUUUUCUAUGAUAUAUAUUCUGUUUUCGUACUUUAUCUUUCGUGGAUCAUUUGAUCAUUUAUCUGUCACUUUCUGUAUCCUUUACCUACAAUAAAAACAUCUUGCAUAAAGUUGC